rnacentral:misc_RNA from 1 species
AGUCCACUUAAGCCUUUGCUUAGUAUUGGGAAUCUACUUUUACUCUGUAGUUGUAGUUCCUCAAAGACAGCGGCGGAGUCGUGGUUUUACUCUGAGCUUAGUAAUUUUUUCUAGCUUUCGAGUCGCCACAGCCCCCUUGCCGUUAAACACCCUUUAUUUUUUAAU